GUGCUUGCUUUGGCAGCAUAUAUACUAAAAUUGGAACAAUACAAGGGAGAUUAGCAUGGUCUCUGCACAAGGAUGACAUGCAAAUUCAUGAAGUGUUCUAUAUUUUC